rnacentral:rRNA from 1 species
AAUGAACGCUGGCGGCAGGCCUAACACAUGCAAGUCGAACGGAUCCUUCGGGAUUAGUGGCGGACGGGUGAGUAACGCGUGGGAACAUGCCCAAAGGUACGGAAUAGCCUCGGGAAACUGGGAGUAAUACCGUAUGUGCUCGAAGGAGGAAAGAUUUAUCGCCUUUGGAUUGGCCCGCGUUGGAUUAGGUAGUUGGUGGGGUAAUGGCCUACCAAGCCGACGAUCCAUAGCUGGUUUGAGAGGAUGAUCAGCCACACUGGGACUGAGACACGGCCCAGACUCCUACGGGAGGCAGCAGUGGGGAAUCUUAGACAAUGGGGGAAACCCUGAUCUAGCCAUGCCGCGUGAUCGAUGAUGGCCUUAGGGUUGUAAAGAUCUUUCAGGUGGGAAGAUAAUGACUGUACCACCAGAAGAAGCCCCGGCUAACUCCGUGCCAGCAGCCGCAGUAA